rnacentral:snRNA from 1 species
GUUCUUGCUUUGGAAGCACAGAUACUAAAAUCAGAAUGAUACAGAAAAGACUAGCCCCUGCACAAAGACGACAUGCAAGUUCAGGAAGCAUUCCAUAUUUUU